GAUGAAGAACGUAGCGAAAUGCGAUACUUGGUGUGAAUUGCAGAAUCCCGUGAACCAUCGAGUCUUUGAACGCAAGUUGCGCCUCAAGCCAUUAGGUUGAGGGCACGUCUGCCUGGGCGUCACAUAUCGUUGCCUGAUGCCAGUUUCCUCGUGAUGGGUGACUGUGCAGGGCGAAUGAUGGCUUCCCGUGAGCAUUGUUGCCUCAUGGUUGGUUGAAAAUUGAGUCCUUGGUAGGGAGCGCCGUGAUAGAUGGUGGUUGAGUGACGAACGAGACCCAAUCAUGUGAGACCCCUACCGAAUUUGGCCUUCAUGACCCACAUGCGUCUUUGGAACGCUCAUGACGAGACCUCAAGUCAGGCGGGGCUACCCGCUGAGUUUAAGCAUAUCAAUAAGCGGAGGA
rnacentral:misc_RNA from 1 species